AAAGAUCGAUACCGAGGGGGGCACGACGCCCCGGAGAACCCCCUGCUCUUGCAGGCAGUCUGUACCGCGUACAGCCUGAAACUCCCUAAACCUCAACAAACUGCCACUCCGACGUGAAGGUAUCGUUCU
ncrna:Escherichia sp. KTE159 EFASI RNA